GGCAUGCGUCAACCAGGUGUUGAAUGUCGGUCGAGGUGGAGGAGUGUUCGAGAGCUGUGCGGUCACAAAGGGGGUCGUUCCGGAGCGUCAGUCCAUUUUCGAUCUUUUGGAGUCUUUUGCAAAUCGCUUUUAUAUUUGUAUUGUAUUUCCAUUU